rnacentral:misc_RNA from 1 species
GAUGAAGAACGUAGCGAAAUGCGAUAAGUAAUGUGAAUUGCAGAAUUCAGUGAAUCAUCGAAUCUUUGAACGCACAUUGCGCCCUCUGGUAUUCCGGGGGGCAUGCCUGUUCGAGCGUCAUUAUAACCACUCAAGCUUUCGCUUGGUAUUGGGGCUCGCGGUUCCGCGGCCCCUAAAAUCAGUGGCGGUGCCUGUCGGCUCUACGCGUAGUAAUACUCCUCGCGAUUGAGUCCGGUAGGUCUACUUGCCAGCAACCCCCAAUUUUUACAGGUUGACCUCGGAUCAGGCAGGGAUACCCGCUGAACUUAAGCAUAUCAAUAAGCGGAGGA